CAACUCUACGUUUCAGAGAGUCUGCACUGGGAAUAGUGGUUUUAUCUGUCGACAUUUCUUGGUGUUCUGGGAAACCUUAACUGUGUGUGUGUGUGUGUGUGUGUGUGUGUGUGUGUGUGUGUGUGUGUGUGUGUGUGUGUGUAUACUAACACAGGCCAGGGAGUAUAGCUGGGAGAGCAGCUACCUUGGCUCCAGCAGUGAGGGCCCCCCGCCCAGCCCCCAGCCUCGCUCGCGCCUGUGUCGCAUGAACGCCAUCUGCCCCGACUUCAUGAGGAGCGAUGACCUCGAGUUCACUGAGGGUGGAUUGAGCAGCCUCCGGUCGAGCCAUGUGGAGCCGCCAGGUAUCGAUUCUCUCCGGAGAAGACAGUUAGACUUGAGCUCCGAUUACAGCCUCGAAACAGAUGACAGUCCGUUCUCUUUGGACACAGAGAGUGACUUUGUCAUGAUC
ensembl:lncRNA